rnacentral:rRNA from 1 species
GGGUCAGUAGGUUGGUCGUGCCACCGGUACGUACUGGUCUCACUGAUUCCUCCUUCCUGAAGAACCGUAAUGCCAUUAAUUUGGUGUUGCGGGGAAACAGGACUGUCACUUUGAGAAAAUUAGAGUGUUUAAAGCAAGCUAACGCUUGAAUACAUUAGCAUGGAAUAAUGAAAUAGGACGAUCGAUCCUAUUUUGUUGGUUUCUAGGAUUGACGUA